rnacentral:rRNA from 1 species
UGGGGAAUAUUGCACAAUGGGCGAAAGCCUGAUGCAGCAACGCCGCGUGAGUGAUGAAGGCCUUCGGGUUGUAAAGCUCUGUCUUUUGGGACGAUAAUGACGGUACCAAAGGAGGAAGCCACGGCUAACUACGUGCCAGCAGCCGCGGUAAUACGUAGGUGGCAAGCGUUGUCCGGAUUUACUGGGCGUAAAGGAUGCGUAGGCGGAUUUUUAAGUGAGAUGUGAAAUACCCGGGCUUAACUUGGGUGCUGCAUUUCAAACUGGGAAUCUAGAGUGCGGGAGAGGAGAAUGGAAUUCCUAGUGUAGCGGUGAAAUGCGUAGAGAUUAGGAAGAACACCAGUGGCGAAGGCGAUUCUCUGGACCGUAACUGACGCUGAGGCAUGAAAGCG